AUUGAACGCUGGCGGAAUGCUUUACACAUGCAAGUCGAACGAUGAAGUCUAGCUUGCUAGACGGAUUAGUGGCGAACGGGUGAGUAAUAUAUCGGAACGUAUCCAUUAAUGGGGGAUAACUAGUCGAAAGAUUGGCUAAUACCGCAUACGUCCUACGGGAGAAAGCUAGAGACCUUCGGGCCUGGCGUUAAUGGAGCGGCCGAUAUCUGAUUAGCUAGUUGGUGAGGUAAAGGCUCACCAAGGCGACGAUCAGUAGCUGGUCUGAGAGAACGACCAGCCACACUGGAACUGAGACACGGUCCAGACUCCUACGGGAGGCAGCAGUGGGGAAUUUUGGACAAUGGGCGCAAGCCUGAUCCAGCCAUUCCGCGUGAGUGAAGAAGGCCUUCGGGUUGUAAAGCUCUUUCGCAAGGGAAGAAAACUUACCCUCUAACAUAGGGUGAGGAUGACGGUACCUUGAUAAGAAGCACCGGCUAACUACGUGCCAGCAGCCGCGGUAAGAC
rnacentral:rRNA from 1 species